GGUCUGUUCGCCUAGUUGGUUAGGGCGCUGGUCUUUCGAACCAGAUGGAUGAGUUCGAUCCUCAUACAGACUACCA
rnacentral:tRNA from 1 species